rnacentral:misc_RNA from 1 species
GAUGAAGAACGCAGCGAAAUGCGAUACUUGGUGUGAAUUGCAGAAUCCCGUGAACCAUCGAGUCUUUGAACGCAAGUUGCGCCCGAAGCCAUUAGGCCGAGGGCACGCCUGCCUGGGCGUCACACGUCGUUGCCCCCCCCCAUCUACUCCUUCGGGAUUGCGGGGGGCGGAUGAUGGCCUCCCGUGCGCCUCGCCGCGCGGUUGGCAUAAAUGCCAAGUCCUCGGCGACGCACGCCACGACAAUCGGUGGUUGCGAAACCUCGGUUGCCCGUCGUGUGCGGUCGUCGCGCAUCGAGGGCUCGAAAAAAUUGCCGAGUUCCGGCUCGGCUUUCAACGCGACCCCAGGUCAGGCGGGGUUACCCGCUGAAUUUAAGCAUAUCAAUAAGCGGAGGA